rnacentral:rRNA from 1 species
CCUACGGGUGGCAGCAGUGGGGAAUAUUGCACAAUGGGCGCAAGCCUGAUGCAGCCAUGCCGCGUGUGUGAAGAAGGCCUUCGGGUUGUAAAGCACUUUCAGCGGGGAGGAAGGCGUUAAGGUUAAUAACCUUGGCGAUUGACGUUACCCGCAGAAGAAGCACCGGCUAACUCCGUGCCUGCAGCCGCGGUAAUACGGAGGGUGCAAGCGUUAAUCGGAAUUACUUGGCGUAAAGCGCACGCAGGCGGUCUGUCAAGUCGGAUGUGAAAUCCCCGGGCUCAACCUGGGAACUGCAUUCGAAACUGGCAGGCUAGAGUCUUGUAGAGGGGGGUAGAAUUCCAGGUGUAGCGGUGAAAUGCGUAGAGAUCUGGAGGAAUACCGGUGGCGAAGGCGGCCCCCUGGACAAAGACUGACGCUCAGGUGCGAAAGCGUGGGGAGCAAACAGGAUUAGAUACCCGAGUAGUC